AGUGGGCUGCCAAUUCGGAGUUUGGAAAGGGGGCGGGGGGAGAGGAGGCUUGCUUUCAGCGGCUUUCGGAAAGGAGCGGCCUCGGUGGGAUUCCUCCGCGAUUGUUGAGCCUGUUGUGGAAUGCUCCGUACUCCGAACCUUCCCUUGUUUCGCAAUGAACCCUUUCCGGCCAUGUAUUGGCUGCCUACAGCCAUUAUACAGUCACCCAGUCCACGUUUCAGCCUCGCCUGUUUGGCGAGCUCAGUCGGCGCGCUGAGUUUAGGGUGCAGGAGGCUGGAAUUCAGACCAGUAUUUCUCAGUCUCGGAGCCGUUAAGCUGUGUGGCUGGCUGGGGAGUUCUGGGAGUUGAGCUCCACGCAGCUUAAAGGCUCUGAGAUUGAGAAACAUGGCUUAGACGAUUGGGUCGACGGAGUAAACCGUGGCUCGCUUCAGCCUGGCUAAACGCCCCGUAUGAUCGCUGCCAGCGUUAUCCCUGCACGGACUUCGCCGGACUUCUUGCUUCCAAAGACUCAAAGUAAAAAGGAGGAGAGGGAUGAUGAUGACGACGAUGAUGAUGAUGAUGACAGGUGUUUUUGAGUCUUAGAGGACUGUUGUAAGGAUGAAGGGGAUGGAUGGAUGAACAGGAAGAAUGAUGUAUGCUGCUUUGGCUCCUGGAGAAAAGUUGAUAUAUGUAAAUAUAAUAAAUCAUUUCUGACUGCAGCCUUAAUAAGUAAUUUAAGUGAUGCAUGAUUUGGGUAUAUGUCCCUAUCUAAGUUUCUAGUUUGAAAGGUUAUAGGCUAUGGCACAUUUUUAAAUGAAGAUUUUAAAAAUAGAAGCUUAUCCAUUAUUAAACUCCACUCAUUAUUCUAGAAGUGCCCUUUUCUUAUUGCAUUGCUUUGUGUUAUCACAAGUAGUUAUAAUCUCCAAUGAUAACUCUGUGUUUAAUUUUAUAUUACAGGUGUCAGAAUAUGGACAUUUGCCAGUAUUUCACCAUUCUUUGGAAAGACUUUUAAAAUUAUGUCUUUAAUAUCUUAAUUCUUCAUUGGUUAGUAUGAAGAUACAGAGAGGGUUUGCACUUAGCCAAAAUACAACAAUCAUAAUAACUACCUCCCUUCAACCUUCUGGUUCUGAUUUUUUAACUAAAAGGGCCACAUGCAACCUCAGUCUUAAUGCUAUUUAAACAAGUGUUCUCUCUCACUGGAUUUAUUUGUAAAAUUCCAUUUACAAUACUGAACAAGAAAUUCAAGUCCUUGCUGAAUGUAUUUUCUUGCAAAUUAAAUAAACUGAAGUUUUAAUUGGCACUUAACUGCUCAUAACAGAUUGCUGUGGUCUCAGCCAACAUUUAGAAACAGCCUAGGCUGGAUUUAAAAAAAAAAAGUAUUACGGCUGAGAUUUGUCUGAAGGAAAUCAACAAGAGUAGUAAACACUUUUUUAAAAAAGAAAAUGUUUUCUCCUCUGACUUCUGCUUUCCAGCUGUUUGUUUAUUGAACUACACAUAACACAAGCUUUUUACAUAACUGCAUCUAUGCUUUAAGGCAAAUUUGACAGAAUAUUAUUAUUAGAAUUGUUUCUGUCUAAACCGAUUUAUUCACACACACAUGCACUCAAAAAAAGUUAUUCUGAAUAAGCGCUAUUGCAAUAUAAACAUGGUUAACUGACUGGGAAAACAAACCUAAAAUAUAUAUUUACUUAAAGCAUUCCUACCUCACUUUUUGAAAACAGCUGCCAGACAGGCUUAUAAGAUUAGUUAUGGUAGAUUCUGUCAUAAAGCCUACAAAGUUUAGUAAUGAGACAGAUCCUGCCAUGAUAUACAAAAAAAAGGGGUUGGGAAGAUAGAAAAAAAAAACAUUAGUUCUUAGUUUAAACAUUCUUAUAACUUAAAUGCACAAUUUGAUUGAUUGAUUGAUUGAUUGA